GAGUUUGAUCUUGGCUCAGAUUGAACGCUGGCGGCAUGCCUUACACAUGCAAGUCGAACGGCAGCAUGAUCUAGCUUGCUAGAUUGAUGGCGAGUGGCGAACGGGUGAGUAAUACAUCGGAACGUGCCCUGUAGUGGGGGAUAACUAGUCGAAAGAUUAGCUAAUACCGCAUACGACCUGAGGGUGAAAGUGGGGGACCGCAAGGCCUCAUGCUAUAGGAGCGGCCGAUGUCUGAUUAGCUAGUUGGUGGGGUAAAGGCCCACCAAGGCGACGAUCAGUAGCUGGUCUGAGAGGACGAUCAGCCACACUGGGACUGAGACACGGCCCAGACUCCUACGGGAGGCAGCAGUGGGGAAUUUGGACAAUGGGCGAAAGCCUGAUCCAGCAAUGCCGCGUGUGUGAAGAAGG
rnacentral:rRNA from 1 species